rnacentral:lncRNA from 1 species
UGAGUAAAAUUAUUAAUAAUUACUGUGAUUAAUGGUAAGAUGAAGAUGAAAGACAUCCCAAAAGUUAUUCCCUAAACUAUUGAUGACCAUUUAUACAUAGACACACAUUUAAAAUAUCUUCUCACAACAAGAUUCUUGUUCAGUGGGAUUUUAUGGCAUGAAAUGUACUAGUAUCACUAUCCACAAACGUACAGAGAGAAAGGGUUUGAUUGUAGUAUUUUGGAUCUGCCAGAGUGUCAGUGGUACCUACUGCACCCACCUUGUCUUUAGGUAUUAUAGGUUGGUCCAUACUUCAUCUUCAUUUGCGGUGUCUGCAAUUUGCAUAACUAGUAGUAGUAGUAGUACCUGCCUAUAUUACAAUACUGUCAAUUACACACAUCAACAUCUAACCAUAUAAAUAAGCAAAAUGAAUAAUUUAUACCUGAAGUAAAAACUUUGGUAGUUGAUAUUGUAUAAUCAUAA